UAAAGGUUUUGGAGUUGGAAGAAACCUGCCUCCUCCUGGCCCUGUGACCUUGGGAUCCACAGCAGUACAGAAUCAGCACAAAGGAGCUGAAAGAAAGUAUACUUCUUUAUUGAAAGCAAAAUGGUGCGACCAGCUUCUAGCAUAUGGAAGCAUUUUCACACUGCAAGUUAUUCUGAG